CCCUUAGAUGUUCUGGGCCGCACGCGCGCUACACUGAUGCAUUCAACGAGUCUAAAACCUGGUCUGAUAGGGCUGGGUAAUCUUUUGAAUGUGCAUCGUGAUUGGGAUAGACUAUUGCAAUUAUUGGUCUUCAACGAGGAAUUCCUAGUAGACGUAGUUCAUCAGACUGCAUCGAUUACGUCCCUGCCCUUUGUACACACCGCCCGUCGCUCCUACCGAUUGAAUGCUCAGGUGAGCCAUUCGGACUUUCAUCAUGCUGGUUUCCAGUUUUGAUGAAGGAAAGUCUUGCGAACCUUAUCAUUUAGAGGAAGGAGAAGUCGUAACA
rnacentral:rRNA from 1 species